rnacentral:rRNA from 1 species
UACGAAGGGGGCUAGCGUUGCUCGGAAUGACUGGGCGUAAAGGGCGCGUAGGCGGUUUGCCCAGUCAGAUGUGAAAUUCCUGGGCUCAACCUGGGGGCUGCAUUUGAUACGUGUAGACUUGAGUGGGGAAGGGGGUCGUGGAAUUCCCAGUGUAGAGGUGAAAUUCGUAGAUAUUGGGAAGAACACCGGUGGCGACGGCGGCGACCUGGUCCUUGACUGACGCUGAGGCGCGAAAGCGUGGGGAGCAAACAGG